GAAACUAAACGAUAAAUCCGUCGGUACUGAUCUAACUUCAAAAGCUUUCUGUUACCAUCUCUCGGACAUAUACCGACGGUUUAUGUCGCUUUUCGUCUCUAAAAACUAAUACUAAACAAAUAAAAAAUCCCAACCCUAAUCUUAUUUACCCUAAAACCAAAAUCCGGAAAACCCCUCCUCAGUUAUUUGUUCCCCUGCACCUUCGCUACGCCCGAUAGCUCUCUUCAAAGGAAAAAGGAGCUGAAUCUACUGUUCAACCUCAAAAGCAUCAAUCAAUGCCACCACAACAUGAACAGCAAUCUCUGGAGCAGCUUGCUUUUGAAGUUCAAGGACCGAAUAAAAAAGGGCAUGGUGGUUGUGUAGGAGCGGUUGCUUCUUCGUCUCGGUUAAGGCUGGUCCUUCGCAUUUUCAAUCAAUGCAAAGAAAUGAAGAAUGAGAGGACUUGAAAGCUGAGCUUCAAAGACUGAAUGAAGUUGUGAAGAUGAUUUUAUCUUCUUCUUUUUUAAAAGCAAUUUCCUGGCGAAGAUCUGAAUAAUCUAAUGAUUGCCACUUCUCGCUUGCUUAACAAAGAGGCACCCGAUGCUAAUAGUGCUGUUGAACCCUCUUCUUCUAGCAACAAUGAAUCCAUUCACCAUCACUCUAAUCAAAAUGAAAAUGAUUAUCAACACAUCAGAAUAAAAAAAUCAUUUUCAUAAACAUGGGGAGACGAUGAAUUCCAGAAACUAGUUUCCCAUGCGAAAUCCAAUUCUUUUCUCUUGUGGGUUUCUUCAUGGAAUUCAUUUCCAGGUGUGAAAAUGGG